CUUUGGGGCAUUUCAGGACAGUUUGGUCUAUUCUUUUGUUUUUUUUUGGAUUUGAUUAGAUGGCCAGGCGAUGAUUUGGUGCGUUUUUUUGUUUGUUUAUUGGGGGGAGGAAGAUUAGAAUGGGGUGACGGGAAUGUCACAUGAUUUGGGACUUAUCGUGUGUUUCUGGAAUGGCGUGGUUAUAUAUGUUUUUAUUUUAUUCGGCUUAGUUUAUUCAGGCUGGUUGACUAUGGACACACGCAACAGCUGGUCCGCGAGGUGACUGAGGGUACGGUGCAAAGGCGGCAGCUCAGCGUGGGCCAGCCGCAACACGCCCUUCUCUCGAGUCAGCUGAGGGGCAAGAUACCCAAGGCCGAGAAACAGUGAGCGAGCGACGCGGGCCUGCAAGUGGUCGCUCCGGAAUCUGACGGCGUGGGAGGGAGCGGCGCGAAGGGUGUGCGAGACGCUGCAGAGUUCGCUGAAGAAGGCGCAGAUGGACUUCAGGGACGGGAGAACCAGCGGGGGGGUGAUGGGAGGGUCCAGUGGGAUGGGCUCGUCUGGAUGGGGCGUGGAAGAGGAGGAGGAGGGCGGGACUCAUGACCACGCCCCCACGCACCAGCUUCGCCAGCAGCAGCAGCGUAUUA